rnacentral:rRNA from 1 species
GACGAACGCUGGCGGCAGGCUUAACACAUGCAAGUCGAGCGCCCCGCAAGGGGAGCGGCAGACGGGUGAGUAACGCGUGGGAAUCUACCGUGCCCUAAGGAAUAGCUCCGGGAAACUGGAAUUAAUACCGCAUACGCCCUACGGGGGAAAGAUUUAUCGGGGUAUGAUGAGCCCGCGUUGGAUUAGCUAGUUGGUGGGUA